rnacentral:lncRNA from 1 species
UGAAUGGAAUUCAUAUGUAUUUUCUUUAAAUAUCAGAAAGUGUUGCUUAAUUUUCUUCAUAAUCAUUAUAAAGCUAACAUUUUAUGACUUGAAGCACUUUUUAGCAUAGAACUGCACCCAGUUUCUACAUAUUCAGAGUUAAGAUAUCAUCUAUAUUCUGCCACAGAGCUCAGAAGCAAGGAGUGCCAUCCUGAUCCCAGCUUCAAGUCCCCAGUCCAGAUGCCUCCAUGCCUUCUCAAUUUCUUCUCCAUGGAAAGGAAUAGAAAUCUUAUAGGUCAACAAGUAUGGGGUGGAUUCCAAUUUGCAAAACCUUUAUAGAUGGCCUCAUUUACUUAUAUACAUGGGGAAAGGUAUCCAAAAGACAGGAAGAAGCAGUAAAAUAUCUACAUGAGUGAUCUACCAUACUGUUGAGAAAUACCACUGAAUGCCAGUGUUACUCCAAUGUUACAUUUCCUUGGCCUCUCUUUUUUUCCUUCCUUUAAUCUAUUCCAGACACGCUCAUUGGCAAAACCCAACCAGAAGCCAGAGCAGAGAGCCUGGGCACUGUGUCCUAUAGAGGUUACAGAUCCAAGUUCACAGACCAAGGUCGAGAGACGUGGAGAAUGGGUCUCAUGGCAAGCAGAAGCAGAGAGAAUUAGCCAGGAUAAAGACGAGAAGAAAAUUAAAAAUCCUUCGGAAGUCCACCCUCCAGAGCUCUCUGACGCAGUGGAGACAUGGAGAAUGUAGAAAGAACGGUGCCCUCGUGUGCCUGCCUAGGGGCUGUGCCAUCUGCAGGCUGUGACUGUCGUGUCAUAUCUGUGAAGACUCCCGUCCUGGGCUGCUGUGGAGCCUCAUUCUUCCCCACCCCCGUUUCCCAGGACAUGAAGAGAGGGGUGCCCAUGGACGCAGCACUCUGGAUGGUGUCCUGAUAUUUCGGACAGGUCAGCCCUGUGGUUCUGGUUUUAGGGAUCUUGGCUCAUGGAAUGAGAGGUCCUGACGUGGCACUUUUAAUCCAGUUCGUUGCCUGGCAUUUGUUUGAAUAUUGAUCCUAACUCGCUGAAUGAUGUUUUUACUGUUUCCAAUGUUUCCAGUCUUAGGUAUUUUCAUGAGAAGUUGGGAAGGGCUUGUUAGGGAGCUAUUAACCAAGCAUCAUUUAAAAACUCGAGUUCUAAGGAAGCUUCUAAUUAAGGAGCUAUCUGGGCUCACAAAGAAUAAAGCGCUGGAAGCAGCCA